UGCAAGUCAUUCCCUGUAGCCCCAAGCACUCCACUCAGGAGCCAGUGCUCCCCCUGCAAGGGUUGGUGGCAGCUCAAACACGCCAGAGCAGCGCAGAGCAGGUUGGGGGAGAAGGGGAUCGGAAUGGCACACAUCUGAACUC